AAACUCAUUAAAUAAACUAUUAUUAUUCACGCCUCGACAAGCAUCAUUAGCGUAAAAAAUGUGUCAUUUAAAAAUUAUCAAUAUUUUAGUUAUUGUCUACCUAACAUAUGUAGUAGGAUUCAAAAUAUUGAUCCGUUAUCCAACUGACACAGUCCAAUACGUGAUUACAGUGGAUAAUCUCACAUCCAAUACAACAGUCCAAGCCUUGAAGGCCGAUGCAGCACCCCGUUUCAAUCGGACAGCUUCGAAUUUUACCUUGACCUACAAAAAUAAUGCUUUGGAAAACAACCGCACAAUCGGUUCCUAUAGCAUAAUGGAAAGUUCUAUACUUGUAGCUAGUUAAAGUUAUAUCAAUAGCAUACCAAAUACAAUUGAUAUAUA